rnacentral:rRNA from 1 species
AAUACCGGAUAACAACACUAGACGCAUGUCUAGAGUUUGAAAGAUGGUUCUGCUAUCACUCUUGGAUGGACCUGCGGUGCAUUAGCUAGUUGGUAAGGUAACGGCUUACCAAGGCAAUGAUGCAUAGCCGAGUUGAGAGACUGAUCGGCCACAUUGGGACUGAGACACGGCCCAAACUCCUACGGGAGGCAGCAGUAGGGAAUCUUCCACAAUGGACGAAAGUCUGAUGGAGCAACGCCGCGUGAGUGAAGAAGGGUUUCGGCUCGUAAAGCUCUGUUGGUAGUGAAGAAAGAUAGAGGUAGUAACUGGCCUUUAUUUGACGGUAAUUACUUAGAAAGUCACGGCUAACUACGUGCCAGCAGCCGCGGUAAUACGUAGGUGGCAAGCGUUGUCCGGAUUUAUUGGGCGUAAAGCGAGUGCAGGCGGUUCAAUAAGUCUGAUGUGAAAGCCUUCGGCUCAACCGGAGAAUUGCAUCAGAAACUGUUGAACUUGAGUGCAGAAGAGGAGAGUGGAACUCCAUGUGUAGCGGUGGAAUGCGUAGAUAUAUGGAAGAACACCAGUGGCGAAGGCGGCUCUCUGGUCUGCAACUGACGCUGAGGCUCGAAAGCAUGGGUAGCGAACAGGAUUAGAUACCCUGGUAGUCCAUGCCGUAAACGAUGAGAGCGAAGUGUUGGGAGGUUUCCGCCUCUCAGUGCUGCAGC